CAUCCCCAUUUUGCAGAUGAGUAGACUGAGGAUCAGGAAGGCAGGGCAGAGUCUUCACCAGAAUCUUUUCCAGGAUGGUCUCCGUCCCUCACUAAGUCACUGGAUCUGCUCUCCCCAGCCUGGGGGCACUACCACCCCUCCAGCUGGGCUCCUGCCAAGUGCCAGUCAAUGUGUCCUGGUGUCUGAGGGCAAAGACUAGAGGUCUGGCAGGAUCCUCCCAGGGCACCUCCUUUUUACCCAUGUCCUCGCACCAAGCAGUGCUCCCUGGGCUCCAGCAGGGGCAGGCAGGACCCUCGGGGCACUCCACUUCCCCAGCCUUCAAAUGAGUUCCCUGUUGAUGUUGUGCUCUGUCCAGUUGGAACACAGGUCCCAUAGUCCCACAGACCUGGGGUUAGUUCUUAGCUGAUCUGUGGGACCUUAGCUGGGGGUCUCUAAGUCUCAUUGUCCUCGCCUAUGAAACCACUCCCUCUGGUGGAUAAGGAGACUUGCUCACCUGGUGGAACACUACUGCAUUCACCAACUCAGGCUGCCAUAACAAAACACCAUAGCCUGAGUGGCUUAUGCAACAGAAAUGCAUUUCCUCCCAGUUGUGGAGGCUGGAAGUCCAAGGUCAAGGUGCCGGCAGGGCUGGUUUCUCCUGAGAUCUCUCACCUGGGCUUGCAGAUGUGACUUCACAUGGCUUUUUCUCUGUGUGCGUGCAUUCCUGGCAUCCCCCACUCUUUUUGUAAGGACACCCAUCCUAUGAACCAGGGCCCAGCCCUUAUGAUGUUCCUUUUACCUAAUUACUUCCUUAAAGGUCCUGUCUCCAAAUGCACUCACCUUGGGGGUUAGGGCUUCAAACUACAAAUUCUGAGGGGUACAGGAAGACACAAUUCAGUCCAUAACUACUCAGCAAUUAAAAGGAACAAGCCAAUCAUGAGCAAGAGAAGCCAGACACGAAACAUAGACACUGUAUGAUUCCAUUUAUAUGAAAUGCUGGAAAAGUCAGAACAAAUCUACAGUGACAGAAAGCACAGCUGUCGUUGCCUGGGGCUGGGGGAGGGGGGGAUUCUUGGGACAAUCCGUGGGAGAACUGACUCCAAAGAGGUCCAAGGGGGAUUUCUGGAGUUGAUGAAAAUGUUGCCUCUUGAUUGUGGUGAUAGUUGCAUGGAAAUAUACAUUUGUCAAAACUCAUUGAACUGGAUGCUGAAAAUGAGUGUGUAAAUUGUAUGCAUGUAAAGUAUACCUUGCCAAAAUAAAAUUUAAAACCCUACCUCAAAGGGUUAAAAAAUAAGACUCAAGUUAGGUGGUUGUUAGGAGUAAAUGAGUUAAUGCCUGCAAAGUGCUUAGCUUGGAGCCUGGCAUGAUGUAAGUGUGCAAGUAAAUGGUAACCAUGGUAACCUGAAAACAAGACUUUUCCCCAGUAAGUGGGGCAAGAAAGAGAAAUAAACACAGAAGGCAAGGGGUGGGGAGCAAUGCUUCUCCCACGCCCAGAGCAGACAGGCAAGAGCUGUGAUCUCAGACUCCUAGAGUCAUCUGGUCACUCUCCCCGCCCAGGCAAGGAUUCCUAUAAUGCUUGUCAGCAUCUUUUGGGCCCUGGGGGCAGCCAACUGCAACUUAGCCCCUGUUCAGCCCUGAUCUUGUUUUUUUUUUCAUUCAUUCAUUCACUGAACAUGCACAUUGGACCACCACCUAGCACAACAAAAGACAUCAAUAGCUGCUUCUGUUUACUGAAUGAUCUUAUGUGCUCAGUGUUUGUCAUUUUAGGCUGAACAAAAUGAAAGAGCCAAGAUUCCACCAGUUUUCACCCACAGAAUGCCAGUUUACUGUGGUUCAACCUGAUAUAUGAUCUGUUUCAUCGUUAUGACAAAUCUGUAGAGUAGAUAUGAUUAUUCCCAUUUUGUGGCUGAGAAGAUGGAAGUUCACAGAGGUGAAGUGCCUGGCCCAAGGUCACACAGCUGUGAGUGCCUGGAUUUGCACACAGGUCUGACUCUGAAUCCCAUAUGUUACAUGUUCCUUGCCCUUUAGGAGUACCAGUCUAGUGUAGAAAUGAACACAUUAAAUACGGCCCCCUGGGUCUCGCCCACUCACCCCCUGAAUCCCCCCAACAGGCUGCCCUCAGCUUUACAGACACUGGACAUGAGUGUCCUUGGUCUUCCAAUGAUACCAAAGUCCUGCUGCCCUGCAAACGGCUCCCCUGCCCACCAGGACAUCUUGCCUUCUCCAGGCCUGCUUCUCCCCGGACCUCGGGGGUUGUGUGGUCAGUGCUGGCUGGUCCCCGGUGAAGCUGUACUUGUGUGUCUCCGUUGCCCCAGGAGUUGGCCUCAUUCUGCCCAUCUUGUCCUCACUCCAAGCCCGCCCCUUCUUAAAGACUCCCUCUGAGUUCAGGUUUGUCUUUAAUUCACAGCUCAUUAGUAGAUCAAAGAGGACAGAGACACCCUGAGUCUAAGGGACCCGCAGGCAGCCCCCUUCUCACACUGUAACAAAGAUGCCCCCUUGGCAGGAGACAAGGGGAUCCCCCUGGCUGCUCUUUGUGAAGCAAGGAGAGGGGGCUGGGACCUGGCUCCAGGCUCCCCCAUUUAUAACAGGGCCAGAGGUUCAGCUGGCAGGGCUGAGGCAGAGGCACUGGGAAGCCGUCAGCCCCUCCUCCAGAGCCUGAGCAGGACAAGGACAGUUAAUUCCUCUGGUGUUAUCAGCUGGGCACAGGCUCUGGUUGCAUAGCAACCCAGAUUGCUCUCUGCCUCUAGUGCUCAAAAAAAAAAAAAAAAAA
rnacentral:lncRNA from 1 species